GAUGAACGCUGGCGGCGUGCCUAAUACAUGCAAGUCGAGCGAACGGACGAGAAGCUUGUUUCUCUGAUGUUAGCGGCGGACGGGUGAGUAACACGUGGAUAACCUACAUAUAAGACUGGGAUAACUUCGGGAAACCGUAGCUAAUACCGGAUAAUAUUUUGAACCGCAUGGUUCAAAAGUGAAAGACGGUCUUGCUGUCACUUAUAGAUGGAUCCGCGCUGCAUUAGCUAGUUGGUAAGGUAACGGCUUACCAAGGCAACGAUGCAUAGCCGACCUGAGAGGGUGAUCGGCCACACUGGAACUGAGACACGGUCCAGACUCCUACGGGAGGCAGCAGUAGGGAAUCUUCCGCAAUGGGCGAAAGCCUGACGGAGCAACGCCGCGUGAGUGAUGAAGGUCUUCGGAUCGUAAAACUCUGUUAUUAGGGAAGAACAUAUGUGUAAGUAACUGUGCACAUCUUGACGGUACCUAAUCAGAAAGCCACGGCUAACUACGUG
rnacentral:rRNA from 1 species